CUUUUGCUGGCGACCGGCGCACGGGUGAGUAACACGUAUCCAGCCUGCCCUUUACUCGGGGAUAGCCUUUCGAAAGAAAGAUUAAUACCCGAUAGCAUAAUGAUUCCGCAUGGUUUCAUUAUUAAAGGAUUCCGGUAAAGGAUGGGGAUGCGUUCCAUUAGGUUGUUGGUGAGGUAACGGCUCACCAAGCCUUCGAUGGAUAGGGGUUCUGAGAGGAAGGUCCCCCACAUUGGAACUGAGACACGGUCCAA
rnacentral:rRNA from 1 species